rnacentral:tRNA from 1 species
GGCGCCGUGGCAUAGUGGUUAGCGCGCCUGCCUCUAACCCAGAAGUAAUGAGUUCAAGACUUGUCGCUGCUA